GACGAACGCUGGCGGCGUGCUUAACACAUGCAAGUCGAACGGUGACGAGGAGCUUGCUCCUCUGAUCAGUGGCGAACGGGUGAGUAACACGUGAGCAACCUGCCCCACGACUCUGGGAUAACAGUUGGAAACAGCUGCUAAUACCGGAUACGAGACGGAGAGGCAUCUCUACCGUCUGGAAAGUUUUUCGGUCUGGGAUGGACUCGCGGCCUAUCAGCUAGUUGGUGAGGUAAUGGCUCACCAAGGCGACGACGGGUAGCCGGCCUGAGAGGGCGACCGGCCACACUGGGACUGAGACACGGCCCAGACUCCUACGGGAGGCAGCAGUGGGGAAUAUUGCACAAUGGGCGAAAGCCUGAUGCAGCGACGCCGCGUGAGGGAUGACGGCCUUCGGGUUGUAAACCUCUUUCAGCAGGGAAGAAGCGAAAGUGACGGUACCUGCAGAAGAAGCACCGGCUAACUACGUG
rnacentral:rRNA from 1 species